AGAGUUUGAUCAUGGCUCAGGACGAACGCUGGCGGCGUGCCUAAUACAUGCAAGUCGAGCGAAUCGAUGGGAGCUUGCUCCCUGAGAUUAGCGGCGGACGGGUGAGUAACACGUGGGCAACCUGCCUAUAAGACUGGGAUAACUUCGGGAAACUGGAGCUAAUACCGGAUACGUUCUUUUCUCGCAUGAGAGAAGAUGGAAAGACAGUUUACGCUGUCACUUAUAGAUGGGCCCGCGGCGCAUUAGCUAGUUGGUGAGGUAAUGGCUCACCAAGGCGACGAUGCGUAGCCGACCCGAGAGGGUGAUCGGCCACACUGGGACUGAGACACGGCCCAGACUCCUACGGGAGGCAGCAGUAGGGAAUCUUCCGCAAUGGACGAAAGUCUGACGGAGCAACGCCGCGUGAACGAAGAAGGCCUUCGGGUCGUAAAGUUCUGUUGUUAGGGAAGAACAAGUACCAGAGUAACUGCUGGUACCUUGACGGUACCUAACCAGAAAGCCACGGCUAACUACGUGCCAGCAGCCGCGGUAAUACGUAGGUGGCAAGCGUUGUCCGGAAUUAUUGGGCGUAAAGCGCGCGCAGGUGGUUCCUUAAGUCUGAUGUGAAAGCCCACGGCUCAACUGUGGAGGGUCAUUGGGAAACUGGG
rnacentral:rRNA from 1 species